rnacentral:rRNA from 1 species
GAUGAACGUUGGCGGUGUGCCUAAUACAUGCAAGUCGAACGGAGACUGUAGCAAUACUGUCUUAGUGGCGAACGGGUGAGUAACGCGUUGGUGAUCUGCCUCGAAGUGUGGAAUAACCUCCCGAAAGGGAAGCUAAUACCGCAUAGUCUCUCAAGGUUUAGAAAAUUGAGAGUAAAGGAUUUAUUCGCUUUGAGAGGAGCCUGCGUCCCAUCAGCUAGUUGGUAAGGUAAUGGCCUACCAAGGCGAUGACGGGUAGGGGACCUGGAGAGGGUGGCCCCCCACAAUGGAACUGAAACACGGUCCAUACACCUACGGGUGGCAGCAGUAGGGAAUAUUAGAAAUGGACGAAAGUCUGAUCUAGCAACACCGCGUGUGCGAAAGAAGGCCUUCGGGUUGUAAAGCACUUUUGGAAGGAUUAGGAAGGAAUGUACUUCAGAAUAAGUCUCGGCUAACUACGUG